AAGACAUCAGAAGGAAACAAAACGGGCAAUACGGGCUGAAAAGAUGAAGUACGAAGGGAAGCUGGCCCGGAAUAUAAAGAAGGACAGUAAAAGCGUCUUUAGAUGUGUUAAGGGGAAAAAGAGAAGCAAAGUCAAAUGUGGAUCCCAGGAAGAGAUCGGAAGAG